AAGUAUUGCCAGGCCACACUUAUGUGAGAAACUUCAUGCUCCUUAAGUAAAGUUGAGUUCGCUCGUUGAGGUUUAGUAUAUAAGGUCAAAGGCGGGUAAUCUUCAUCAAAUCUAUCUUUCUCUGUGAAAACGGAAGAAGUGAAAGAGCCAGCGGAGUUGUGCGCUAGUUCAUAAAUCAAUUCAGUAAUGGUUUACACUUCAAACUCGCCCUACUGCUACUUACAAUACAAGCAAGCAAUAUUGUAUCUCGUCACCAAGUAGCAAUUCACAAAUCUUAAAGCAAGGGGGAAUCUCAGUAUGACUCUAUCGGCUAUCUUUCUAGGCGUCAAAGCAUUGGAAGAGCAUUUCAGAACUAGCUAACGCCUUUCAGAGACUAUACCAGACCCACCUGUUAUUGACUUGAUUAUUCCCUUAACAGCUACGCCAGUACUAGAUGAUGCCCUUAAGCGCUCCGGUAGACAAAAAGGAUUGUUCCUUAUUCUGUUGAUCCUUGGAAUACACCGUAACCUAGAAACUAUGUUCCCUUACCCGCUACACCACUACUAGAUUAUGGUCUUCGUAGAUGUUUUCAGCGCCCAGCUCAUUAUUGUAAGUAUAUGAAAUGGAUUCUCACUUUAUAGGGAAAGUCUCCUACUUCUCCCUUUGAUUCUGCAUUGACAGGGUUAUUCCAUGAGGACCAGCUACUUAGUGAACUUCCUUAUUCUUUGUUUAGGCCGGAUAAGAACUAGCUAAAGGAUGAGACGCACUUCGUAUAGUCUAGUGAGUCACCUAUAGGGUUAGAGUAGUAGUUUGUUUGGACUUAGCUCAUUCUUAGGGAUACCAGCAGCACUCUUACUUAAUAGAUGUGAUUAGCCCCCAGUAGUAAAGCCAUAGUUGGUCAAGAGAAGGUAUUGUUAGCCCCAGCUCAAUUCUGAGUAUAGUAUGCCCCAUCCUCGAUUGAUAAGUUCUCUUCAGUAUGCCCAUUACUCUUAUCCGUAGUGGUCGAUUUCUUAUACUUAAUCGUUUUUGUCUUAGACAACUUAGGUUCAUUCUUAUCGGCACCCCUCACUUUAUACCUGCAAUAUGGAGUUGUUAUACCUGCAAUACGGAGUUGCUUGCCUAUUACUUGAGAGUGGCAUUACUCUUAGGCUGCUAUUUAUUAUCUUAUUCCUCUUAGGCUGCUAUUUCUUAUUUAUGAGAAUGUAUUAACUUAUUCUCACAUACCUAGCUCAUGAUUAUGUUUCUUACCUUGAAAUCUUACCUGCCUGUUCUGUUGCUAAUACGACUAGCUCGAUUAAGCCUUUCACUCCCGGGGUCUAUCGGAGGUUUGCAAAGGGUAAUCAGCCGGCGAGUCGAUUUAGUAUAGUAGUAACCUCAAUCCCUCUUCCCUAGGCUUUGAACAAGACUUCUUCUUUGUCUUCUUAUUCUGUAUGAGUGCUCUUUCCUUCCUGCUUCCUUUCCU
rnacentral:lncRNA from 1 species